AGCGAACGCUGGCGGCAGGCUUAACACAUGCAAGUCGAGUGCCGUAGCAAUACGGAGCGGCAGACGGGUGAGUAACGCGUGGGAACGUGCCUUCUGGUUCGGAAUAACUCAGGGAAACUUGAGCUAAUACCGGAUAAGCCCUUCGGGGGAAAGAUUUAUCGCCGGAAGAUCGGCCCGCGUAAGAUUAGCUAGUUGGUGAGGUAAUGGCUCACCAAGGCUACGAUCUUUAGCUGGUCUGAGAGGAUGAUCAGCCACACUGGGACUGAGACACGGCCCAGACUCCUACGGGAGGCAGCAGUGGGGAAUAUUGGACAAUGGGCGCAAGCCUGAUCCAGCCAUGCCGCGUGAGUGAUGAAGGCCUUAGGGUUGUAAAGCUCUUUUAGCAGGGACGAUAAUGACGGUACCUGCAGAAAAAGCCCCGGCCAACUUCGUGCCAGCCGCCGCUGUAA
rnacentral:rRNA from 1 species